rnacentral:rRNA from 1 species
GAUCGCGGCGACGUUGGCGGUCCGCUGCCGACGACGUCGCGAGAAGUCCACUGAACCUUAUCAUUUAGAGGAAGGAGAAGUCGUAACAAGGUUUCCGUAGGUGAACCUGCGGAAGGAUCAUUGCUGUU